rnacentral:rRNA from 1 species
AUUGAACGCUGGCGGCAGGCCUAACACAUGCAAGUCGAGCGGGGUUUUCGGACCUAGCGGCGGACGGAUGAGUAAUGCGUAGGAAGCUGCCCGAUAGAGGGGGAUACCAGUUGGAAACGACUGUUAAUACCGCAUAAUGUCUACGGACCAAAGUGUGGGACCUUCGGGCCACAUGCUAUCGGAUGCGCCUACGUGGGAUUAGCUAGUUGGUGAGGUAAUGGCUCACCAAGGCGACGAUCUCUAGCUGGUUUGAGAGGAUGAUCAGCCACACUGGAACUGAGACACGGUCCAGACUCCUACGGGAGGCAGCAGUGGGGAAUAUUGGACAAUGGGCGCAAGCCUGAUCCAGCCAUGCCGCGUGUGUGAAGAAGGCCUCCGGGUUGUAAAGCACUUUCAGCGAGGAGGAAGGGUGGUGUGUUAAUAGCACAUCAUUUUGACGUUACUCGCAGAAGAAGCACCGGCUAACUCUGUGCCAGCCGCCGCCGUAAAAC